UAAGUUGAAGAAUGCUCUGCAACAGCCAGGUAUCUCUGACGACUUGAAAACUAUUAAGGAGAAGAUGGGUAUUGAAGGCGAUAAGUCUGUGGACUUUUUUCUCCUCCUUGAUAACAUUCUUGCUGAGCAGGUGCACAAUUUGCCAAGCUGUCCUGUGCUGAAGAACUUUCAGCAGACAGUUGAGCGUCGAUCUGUUGACUCACUGCUUUUCCUUCUGGAAGAUGGUUCAAGAGAAGUUCUUCAGAUGAGUGUUGGUCUCCUUUUCUAUACCUUACAGAAGAACAUUACAGAAGCAGUAGAUCCCUCAUCUCCAGCUGAAAAGGCCAGAAAACUCAUUCUCUAUGCUUCUCAUGACGUUACCCUUAUUCCUGUCCUGGUGGCACUGGGCACCUUUGAUCACAAGUGGCCACCUUAUGCUGCAGAUGUGACCCUGGAACUGUAUGAGCACCGGCAGUCCAAAGAGUGGUUUGUUCGCAUGUCUUACCAUGGAGAGGGCUUCUGCAGUGCCCUCUGUGCCCCGCUCCGGCUUUACCAUUCCCCCUUGGUGCAGAAGUGGUUGGGCCAUCCAUUGGUCUCAUCCCACUGAGCGACUCCAUGGUAGUUGUGGCCCACAGUAUGAAGGAGGAGUUAUUUCUGACCUCAACCAGUGUAAAUAAUGAUUGCAGAAGAGGAUUGGUGGGGCAGUGGAAGAGUUUUAAGACUAAAGGACACAGGCCACCUUGCCAGAAAGAUGACACAGCAGAUAUGCAAGACAACUUACCUUUUUUAGGUUAAGAAUUACUACCAAUCGAUAGAGUGAAGUGCGCUCUACUAAAUACAGGCCUAUAUCAAACAUAGAUCAUUUCUGCUCGAGAAGUAUCAAAAUAGAGAACAGGUUUCAGCCAACAGCCUGCCAAGGCUGCACGAGGAAAGCAUUCACCAUCAUGAGUGCAGAAGAGCACAACCAAUGAAACAUGGCCUUUUCUGCCACCAGAAUGAAAACCAGCACAGUAGAUGGUCAGCAUACCAAGCACCACAAAAUUAAGCCAUGUCUACCAUAAUUGUAAUAGUCCCAACACUGGCACAACACAUGCUGUGUUCCAACAGUCUAGGAAGUGUGUUUAGGAUUCACACUUACCCUCAGGAAGAGUCAGGCACCCACAUCUACUCUAAGUCAGGAUACAUGGAUUGUACCAGAAGCACCACCAGCAUUCAAAUCCCAACCAAGACUGAUGCAGAUUAGAUCUCCACAUACUGAUCUGUCUUCUGAAAUGUUACCCAUCAGAUACCACUAGGAAGUGUCAGGACUAAACUCAUAAGGCUGGCUUGUCAUGUUCUUUGGUAGAUUAGCUAGCCCAUGAUACAGGUACAAAGCUUCAGUUUAUUUGGACAGUGCUUAAAACUGUCAGUGUACUUCACAGAUGACCUGUUUGCAACAGUCUACUACUUUAAAACAAACAGAUUUCAAAUAUUUUAAACUUUUGAUUUAGCAGGCGCAUUACUUU